rnacentral:misc_RNA from 1 species
GCUGACUGCUGCUACGCUCUCUCUUAGACUCAGCAAUCAGCAUCAACAUUCGCAUACAGGCGGCGGCGCAUUGACUGCUGAGAUAUGGCGAUGUUAAAUGCGGCUCGUCGAUUAUCAGCUGGAUCAGCUUUAUCAGAUUCACUGCGUUAUACUUCUUCUUCCUGGAGGUUUUUCUCUACGUCUUUCAGGGAGGAAAGAGAUACGUUUGGUCCUAUUCUCGUUCCAUCGGACAAGUUAUGGGGGGCUCAAACUCAAAGAUCAUUGCAGAAUUUUGAAAUAGGGGGUGAUCGUGAAAGAAUGCCUGAGCCAAUCAUACGUGCAUUCGGUAUUAUUAAAAAGUGUGCAGCCAAGGUGAACAUGGACUAUGGCCUUGACCAAUCUAUUGGAAAAGCAAUAAUGCAAGCAGCUGAAGAGGUUGCAGAAGGAAAACUAAAUGACCAUUUUCCUUUGGUGGUUUGGCAGACUGGCAGUGGCACUCAAAGUAACAUGAAUGCUAACGAGGUUAUUGCAAAUCGAGCAGCUGAAAUUCUUGGCUAUAACCGCGGAGACAAACAUGUGCAUCCAAAUGACCAUGUAAAUAAAUCGCAAUCUUCAAAUGAUACAUUUCCAACGGUGAUGCACAUUGCUGCAGCUAUGGAGCUAAAUAAAAGAUUAGUACCAAACUUGAAACAGUUGCAUACUUCACUAAAUUCAAAGUCAGUCGAAUUCAAGGACAUUAUCAAGAUUGGGCGAACCCACACACAAGAUGCAACACCUUUGACUCUUGGACAAGAAUUUAGUGGCUAUGCAACUCAAGUGAAAUAUGGAAUCGAUAGAGUCUUAGGCACCCUUCCACGCAUGUAUCAGCUCGCACAAGGGGGCACAGCAGUAGGCACUGGAUUGAAUACAAAGAAAGGGUUUGACAUAAAAAUUGCUGCAGCAGUUGCAGAGGAAACAAAUUUGCCAUUUGUUACAGCUGAAAACAAGUUUGAAGCAUUGGCUGCUCAUGAUGCAUUUGCUGAAACUAGUGGAGCCUUAAAUACCGUGGCUGCUUCCCUUAUGAAGAUUGGGAAUGAUAUACGCUUCUUGGGAAGUGGUCCCCGCUGCGGUCUUGGCGAGCUCAGUCUUCCUGAAAAUGAACCUGGAAGCAGUAUAAUGCCUGGCAAGGUAAAUCCUACUCAGUGUGAGGCUCUCACCAUGGUCUGUGCUCAGGUUAUGGGGAAUCAUGUGGCUGUUACUGUUGGUGCAUCAAAUGGCCAUUUUGAGCUGAAUGUCUUCAAGCCGAUGAUUGCUAAUGCUCUCCUACAUUCAGUAAGAUUGCUAGGCGAUGCAUCUGCUUCCUUU